rnacentral:sRNA from 1 species
CCCUAGCCCAGAUGGGAACGGCAUCCUCUUGUCCCAGGGUUCGGGACAAGAGAUAUAGUGGACAGCUGGAUUGAGC